rnacentral:rRNA from 1 species
CCUACGGGAGGCAGCAGUGGGGAAUAUUGCACAAUGGGGGAAACCCUGAUGCAGCGACGCCGCGUGAGUGAAGAAGUAAUUCGUUAUGUAAAGCUCUAUUAGCCGGGAAGAAAAUGACGGUACCUGAGUAAGAAGCCCCGGCUAACUACGUGCCAGCAGCCGGGGUAAUACGGAGGGGGCAAGGGUUAUCCGGAUUUACUGGGUGUAAAGGGAGCGUAGACGGGAGUGCAAGUCUGGAGGGAAAGGCGGGGGCUCAACCCCCGGACAGCCCUGGAAACUGGACGGCUGGAGUGCAGGAGAGGUAAGUGGAAUGCCUAGUGUAGCGGUGAAAUGCGUAGAUAUUAGGAGGAACACCAAGUGCGAAGGCGGCUUACUGGCCUGUAACUGACGUUGAGGCUCGAAAGCGUGGGGAGCAAACAGGAUUAGAUACCCUAGUAGUC